UAGGGAAUAUUGGUAAUCUGGGAAACCGGGAACCAGCAACGCCGCGUGCGCGGUGAAAGCCUUCGGGUUGUAAAACGCUUUUUGAGAGGAUGAGGAAGGACAGUACUCUUAGAAUAAGCCUCGGCUAACUACGUGCCAGCAGCCGCGGUAAAACGUAGGAGGCGAGCGUUAUCCGGAUUUACUGGGCGUAAAGCGUGUGUAGGCGGUUUGAUAAGUUGGAUGUGAAGGCUCCUGGCUUAACUGGGAGAGGUCGUUCAAAACGAU
rnacentral:rRNA from 1 species